GAUGAACGCCGGCCGCGUGCCUAAUACAUGCAAGCCGAGUGAACGUACGAUAAGCUCGCUUUUCUGAUGUUAGCGGCGUACGGGUGAGUAACACAUGGAUAACCUACCUAUAAGACUGAGUGAACUUCGGAAAACCUGAGCUAAAACCGUCUAAUAGUUUGAACAGCAUGAUUCAAAAGUUAACGACGGUCAUACUGUCACUCAUAGAUGGAUCUGCGCUGCAUUAGCUAGUUGGUAAGGUAACGGCUUACCAAGGCAACGAUGCAUAGACGACCUGAGAGGGCGAUCGGCCAAAGUGGAGCUGAGCCACGGUCAAGACCCCUAAGGGAGGGAGAAGUAGGGAAUCUUGCGAAAUGGACGAAAGCGUGACGGAGGAACGCCGAGUGAGUGAUUAAGGUCUUCGGACCGUAAAACUCUGUUAUUAGGGAAGAACGUCUGUGUAAGUAACUGUGCACAUCUUGACGGUACCUAAUCAGAGAGCCACGGCUAACUACGUG
rnacentral:rRNA from 1 species